rnacentral:rRNA from 1 species
AUACGUAGGUGGCAAGCGUUGUCCGGAAUUAUUGGGCGUAAAGCGCGCGCAGGUGGUUCCUUAAGUCUGAUGUGAAAGCCCCCGGCUCAACCGGGGAGGGUCAUUGGAAACUGGGGAACUUGAGUGCAGAAGAGGAUAGUGGAAUUCCAAGUGUAGCGGUGAAAUGCGUAGAGAUUUGGAGGAACACCAGUGGCGAAGGCGACUGUCUGGUCUGUAACUGACACUGAGGCGCGAAAGCGUGGGGAGCAAACAGGAUUAGAUACCCUGGUAGUCCACGCCGUAAACGAUGAGUGCUAAGUGUUAGGGGGCUUCCGCCCCUUAGUGCUGCAGCUAACGCAUUAAGCACUCCGCCUGGGGAGUACGGUCGCAAGACUGAAACUCAAAGGAAUUGGCGGGG